rnacentral:sRNA from 1 species
GCUGGGUGUGAUGGUGUACGCCUGUAAUCCCAGAAACUUGGAAGGCUGAGGCAGGAGGAUUGUAAGUUUGAGGCUAGCCUCAGCAACUUAAUGAGACCCUGCCUCAA